rnacentral:rRNA from 1 species
AAAUAUUUCAUUGAUGUAUAAAAUUAGCUAUACCAAUUAAACUACAUAUGGCAGCCUACACGCAUUGUGUACACUAGAUCAAUCUUAAUAAACUUUUAAAAAGUUUAUCAUUAAGAAUAAUCUAACAAACAUUUAUUUAUUAAUGUUAAAAUUUCUCACAACACCAAUGUACUAUAUUAUACUAGCUAGGAAACUAGGCCCUAGAAAAUAAGUAAAAGGGGUGGCAAAAAUGGUGCCAGCAGUCGCGGUUAUACCAGUACCCCAAGUUAAUUUCAACAAAUUGAGAUAGUUGCUAACUUUUCAUGACUACAAGAUUAAUUUUUAAUGUAAAAAAUAAAUCAAAACUAAACCCAACCUAGUCACACUAUACAGCUACCUCAACAAACCACAACCUUAAAACUCGGAUUAGAUACCCGACUACUAUGUGGCCCAACAUAAAAAAGAAUACUACGAGCGAAAGCUUAAACCUCAAACAAUGUGGCGGUGCUUUACUCCUUAUCAGGGGAUCCUGUGGCUUAAUUCGAUAAUCCACGAUAAAUCUAAGCUACCCUCGCAUUUCAGCUUGUGUAUGGCCGUUUAUGCUUGCUCAUAAAAGAAAAAAAAGGAAGCAAUAGAACUAAUCAUUCGACAAUUCAGGUGACAUACAGCCAAUGGGAAGCAGACCUAUGGGAUACAAAUAAAUACACUAACAAAUUCAAAGCUUUAAACUUUAAUGAAGGAGGACUUGAAAGUAAGACUUAAUACUUACAUAAAAUAGGUCUGAAUAAGAACUAAAGCGCGCACAAAUCGCCCGUCACUCCGACAAUAAAGUAGGAUAAGUCGUAACAUAGUAGGGGUAAUGGAAAUUGCCCCUAUAACA